rnacentral:misc_RNA from 1 species
CAACCCUCGAACCCCUCCGGGGGGUCGGCGUUGGGGAUCGGCCCUCCCUUGGCGGGGGCCGUCUCCGAAAUGCAGCGGCGGUCUCGCCGCAGCCUCUCCUGCGCAGUAGUUUGCACACUCGCAUCGGGAGCGCGGCGCGUCCACAGCCGUUAAACACCCAACUUCUGAAA